rnacentral:rRNA from 1 species
GACGAACGCUGGCGGCGUGCUUAACACAUGCAAGUCGAACGGAAAGGCCCUGCUUUUGUGGGGUGCUCGAGUGGCGAACGGGUGAGUAACACGUGAGUAACCUGCCCUUGACUUUGGGAUAACUUCAGGAAACUGGGGCUAAUACCGGAUAGGAGCUCCUGCUGCAUGGGGGGGGUUGGAAAGUUUCGGCGGUUGGGGAUGGACUCGCGGCUUAUCAGCUUGUUGGUGGGGUAGUGGCUUACCAAGGCUUUGACGGGUAGCCGGCCUGAGAGGGUGACCGGCCACAUUGGGACUGAGAUGAGGCCCAGAUUCCUACGGGAGGCAGCAGUGGGGAAUAUUGCACAAUGGGCGGAAGCCUGAUGCAGAAACGCCGCGUGCGGGAUGACGGCCUUCGGGUUGUAAACCGCUUUCGCCUGUGACGAAGCGUGAGUGACGGUAAUGGGUAAAGAAGCACCGGCUAACUACGUG